rnacentral:lncRNA from 1 species
AGCAAAUUUAUCAGCACAACACUGACACUCUUUUAUCCCUUUCACACUGCCUUAGUUUAUCUAUUAAUUGCCAGCUCAUUUCCUUCUUUGACAUUCUCACAUUUGUUUGGCUGAAACUUGAAAUAGUUGUCAGAAAAAAGUUGAGAAAGGUAAUUUCUCACCAUCAUCUCUGUUGUCUUAGAUACUUGAUACGGGAAGCUGUGGAUAUUGGUUAUAGUAUUUAAGGUAUUCCAUUCUCUUUCUUCUAGUUACAAACUUCGCCUCUCUUGCCUUUCUGCCACAGAAGAGACUAUGGAACUCAGACUUGAUUAAUUUGAGCAACAGUGAUUAGUGGAUUAUCAAGUGUCGUAAUCAAACAGAGAAUUUGUCUCUGGGUUUGAUACAUAGAUUCUCAGGGGAACUUCUUCCUAGGGUGGUUAAGCUGCAUCUUCUGGCAGAUUAAGUUCUCCACCACGUGAAGAAGGUAUCUCUGCAGCAGGAGAAAAUGAGAUUACUGUGCCAAGAGAGGUAACUCCUAAACUAAAGGUACAUCAGACCCAACAGGCAGAAAAAGAGCCUGCAAGGCAAGAGAAUGAGACCCAAAUGCUGCACCAGUGUAAGCUGAAGUACAAAGGAGGCCAAAAGUUUACCCUACUAUGUUUGAUUUUUAAAAUUCUAUAGCCCAUUUUAUGUUAAAAAUCCUAUCACCUCUUUUUUCAAAAUGUCUACCCCCAUCCCAAACAUGAGGACCACUUUUUCUACCCUCUUCCAAAUGUGAAACCUGCUGAGAAAUUAAAAAGAACAGAAGUCAAUAGGCACUGAGGAAAAAGAUGGGUCUCAGAGUAGGUUUGUGGUAGGUACAAAACAUUUAAAGUAUUAGUAUAACUCCUUUAACAAAAGUAAGAUAAUUCUUUUACUUUCAGAAUUUUUAUUUGCAUAACUUUGUUUAAUAGACAACUGAUUGAACUUUGAUUAUAAAAUAAUUAUGAAAACCCCAAAAUGAAUGUGACUGCUUGCCGUAACUGAUGCAGUUACAGUUUGAAAGUAACACAUGUCUCAAAGAGAGGACACAGCAGAAAAUUUAGAAUCAUAAUUUUUAGGCAGUAACUGUUGAUGAAUGCCAAUUUUGAAUUAUUUUAAAAACCAGAGACUAAUAAAUAGUUUUAUAGGACACAGUUUUAUAAAACUUAAAAGUAAAUUUUUUUGUGAACUCUCUA